rnacentral:rRNA from 1 species
AAUGAACGCUGGCGGCAGGCCUAACACAUGCAAGUCGAGCGGAUGACGGGAGCUUGCUCCUUGAUUCAGCGGCGGACGGGUGAGUAAUGCCUAGGAAUCUGCCUGGUAGUGGGGGACAACGUUUCGAAAGGAACGCUAAUACCGCAUACGUCCUACGGGAGAAAGCAGGGGACCUUCGGGCCUUGCGCUAUCAGAUGAGCCUAGGUCGGAUUAGCUAGUAGGUGAGGUAAUGGCUCACCUAGGCGACGAUCCGUAACUGGUCUGAGAGGAUGAUCAGUCACACUGGAACUGAGACACGGUCCAGACUCCUACGGGAGGCAGCAGUGGGGAAUAUUGGACAAUGGGCGAAAGCCUGAUCCAGCCAUGCCGCGUGUGUGAAGAAGGUCUUCGGAUUGUAAAGCACUUUAAGUUGGGAGGAAGGGCAGUAAGCUAAUACCUUGCUGUUUUGACGUUACCGACAGAAUAAGCACCGGCUAACUCUGUGCCAGCAGCCGCUGUAAUAC